rnacentral:rRNA from 1 species
AGAGUUUGAUCCUGGCUCAGAUUGAACGCUGGCGGCAUGCCUAACACAUGCAAGUCGAACGGUAACAGCAGAAGCUUGCUUCUGGCUGACGAGUGGCGGACGGGUGCGUAACGCGUAGGAAUCUGCCUGUUGGUUGGGGAUAGCCCGGAGAAAUCCGGAUUAAUACCGAAUAUGCUCUAAGGAGUAAAGGGGGCCUCUCCAUGGAAGCUCUCGCCGACAGAUGAGCCUGCGUCGGAUUAGCUAGUUGGUGGGGUAAAGGCCUACCAAGGCGACGAUCCGUAGCUGGUCUGAGAGGAUGAUCAGCCACACUGGGACUGAGACACGGCCCAGACUCCUACGGGAGGCAGCAGUGGGGAAUAUUGGACAAUGGGCGCAAGCCUGAUCCAGCAAUGCCGCGUGUGUGAAGAAGGCCUGCGGGUUGUAAAGCACUUUCAGUAGGGAAGAAAAGCCUGGAGUUAACAGCCCUGGGUCUUGACGUUACCUACAGAAGAAGCACCGGCUAACUCCGUGCCAGCAGCCGCGGUAAUACGGAGGGUGCGAGCGUUAAUCGGAAUUACUGGGCGUAAAGCGCGCGUAGGCGGUUAUUUAAGUCGGAUGUGAAAUCCCCGGGCUCAACCUGGGAACUGCAUCCGAUACUGG